AUUGAACGCUGGCGGCAGGCCUAACACAUGCAAGUCGAGCGGAUGAGGAAAGCUUGCUUUUCGAUUCAGCGGCGGACGGGUGAGUAAUGCCUAGGAAUCUGCCUGUUAGUGGGGGAUAACUCGGGGAAACUCUGGCUAAUACCGCAUACGUCCUACGGGAGAAAGUGGGGGAUCUUCGGACCUCACGCUAACAGAUGAGCAUAGGUCGGAUUAGCUAGUAGGUGGUGUAAUGGCUCACCUAGGCGACGAUCCGUAACUGGUCUGAGAGGAUGAUCAGUCACACUGGAACUGAGACACGGUCCAGACUCCUACGGGAGGCAGCAGUGGGGAAUAUUGGACAAUGGGCGAAAGCCUGAUCCAGCCAUGCCGCGUGUGUGAAGAAGGUCUUCGGAUUGUAAAGCACUUUAAGUUGGGAGGAAGGGUAUUCACCUAAUACGUGGGUACUUUGACGUUACCAACAGAAUAAGCACCGGCUAACUCUGUGCCAGCCGCCGCCGUAACAC
rnacentral:rRNA from 1 species